rnacentral:rRNA from 2 species
ACGGAAGGCAGCAGUGAGGAAUAUUGGUCAAUGGGCGAGAGCCUGAACCAGCCAAGUCGCGUGAAGGAUGAAGGUUCUAUGGAUUGUAAACUUCUUUUGUUCGAGGGUAAAGUGAGGGAUGCGUCCCUUAUUGCAAGUAUCGAACGAAUAAGCAUCGGCUAACUCCGUGCCAGCAGCCGCGGUAAUACGGAGGAUGCGAGCGUUAUCCGGAUUUAUUGGGUUUAAAGGGUGCGUAGGCGGGAUGUUAAGUCAGCGGUGAGAGCGUGUAGCUCAACUAUACCAAGCCGUUGAAACUGGCGUUCUUGAGUGUAAACGAGGUAGGCGGAAUGUGACGUGUAGCGGUGAAAUGCUUAGAUAUGUCACAGAACCCCGAUUGCGAAGGCAGCUUACCAGCAUACAACUGACGCUGAGGCACGAAAGUGCGGGGAUCAAACAGGAUUAGAUACCCUGGUA